AAGGUAAUGUGGAGUGAGUAGCCUCCAUAUUGAUUAAGAAGGGGAUGGACUUACCAUCCACUGUGAGAGUUACUUAGAGUGUCUGUGGUGGUCCUGUAGGCUUCCAAGGCGAUCGGGCAGUGUCAGUCUUCAGCUGCUAAGCCGAGAAGGUCUGGGAAGGAGUCAGUCAGAGAGCCUUCGGCCAGAGAUCCAGGGACUCUGGGAGUGGCUGCCAGGUAUCGAUCGCAAGAGUGCCCCCAAUCAACUUUCUGCAAGCAAAUCUCUGUUUCAUGGAGAACCUGGCCUGCAACAUGACACCUCUCACCACAUCUUACGUCAGCAGUUUCUAAAUGUGUGCUGUGGACUUGCUACAGCAGAUAUGUUUGGAGAAAAAAAUUCAUAUUUCUCAUGUUCACCCCACACCUACAAAACCAUAAUCUCCAUGAAUGGGUCCCAAGGAUGUGUAUUUUUUCAAAGCUCCUCCUCCACUGCUGAAUCUAGUGUAUAGCUUGAUGUAGAAACCACUGCUAUACCAAAGGCUCAGCCUCAAAUCAGCCUACAGCUUCUAUCUUGCUCCAUCUUCGUUUCAGCCACCAAUAGAGUGGAGAAGCAAUAAAAAGGUCAAAAGUAGGUAAAUAAAAUGUGAACCAGUAUAUAAAAGUUCUUCUGAGCAACUGGUAUGUUUCUGGCUAUUGGCAACUAAUCCCACUUCCUCUUUUAUCCAAGAAGCUCAAAACAAACUUUGUGGCCAACCUCUGGCUUUCAAAUAGAACUUUAUCAUUUCUUCUGCCAAACGUUAACCUCACCCCUGGCUGCCUCUCAUUUUUGCAAUCCAAUUUUCCUUUCACCCCAAUUUCUUCAUCUAUUUCUUGUUGUUUUUUUUUUUAUAUUUCUCAUAUUUCUGUAGGCAGCCUCAAACCCAUGUUUUGUUACUGUGGGGAACAAGUGGGGAAUCAAUUAAAUGAAGGAGAAGGAGGAAGGAAAAAUAAAGGGAAAGAGGAAAAAAUGAUCCUGUCAGUCCUAGGAGAAAUGGAAGCAGGAGUGUGGAUGUACAGGACUCAAAUUAUUCCAGAAUACAGAUUAUCAUGAGCUGCUUGUAUAACACCAUUAUUUUAAAAUGAGAACUCACCACUGAGCAUUUUAAAAAAUAGCAGAUAGUUAAAUUUGUAAGAUCCAUACUAAGGUGAAAGGGAGAGAAGGAGUAGGAGGAUGAAUUUGGCCAUGGUUCUUUUGUGCCCUGUUGCCCUAAGUGAAGUUUCUGGUUUCAGUGUUUGUCCUCAGGCAUUACAGUUUUUGUCCCCCUGCCUGGCAUUGGUCCUUUAGACCCAGAGUACUCACAACAUCUGUACACAAGGCAGUCAAUGGGGAACGGAAGGUGUCGGGGGCAGGGAUAGAGGAUAUGUUUAGAAAUCAUUCUCACCUUGUCUAUAGAGUGAUCUUUAUUAUAAUUUCAGAUCUUUAAAUUCCCUUCUGAUUCUGUCCUUUCUCUACCCAGUAGCCCCUGUGUGUUUUAUAUUAAAAAUCCGUGUCAUGGGAGGGAAAGUGAAAAGCUUUCUCUGGAACCAAUCUGGAAUGGAAACCUAAUAAUGUUUUUUUCAGGCUGGAUAAAUGUCUUAAACAAAAGUGCCAAAAAGGCUGACAUUGCGUCCCUGAUUACAAGCUUUUUCUCUCCUUCUGUAGUUGGUAAUUAUUAGGAAGAAUGAAGCUAUGGUUUCCAAAUAUAUCUGAAAUUUAGAAAUACAGCUUGCACAUAUUGGACUUCAUUUUUUCCUUUCUGGAAGGUAAAUGAUAAUGAUUAAUAGCAAUUCCACCUGUGGGACUCCUGGGCCACUUGGUCCCCUAAGGAAAAAUGAGAAAAUAAAAUCAAGCUAAAAUGCAUUUGUCUUCAUUUCAAGAGUAUGUGUUAUUCACCUCUAUUUAUUUAAUGGUGUGUUCUACCUAUCAGUCUUUCCAACAUUCUUAUGCCUCCUAGAGGACAUGCAAUGGCCCUGCUACAUUCCAGGGCUUGCCCCUGGACUAAGCUUGCCAUGCAGCCUAGCUUCCCACCCUCAGGUGCCUUUUGGUACUUUAGGAACACCUGCUUUACAGGGAGCAGCAGGUUUGAGCCAGUUGGCCCAUACCAGAAUAUGGGGAGAAUCUCAAGGGUUCUUGCUUAAGCCCACAAAGGCCCUUGACUGUAUGUAAGGGCUACCCUAGUCUGGGGCUAGAGGCCCAUAUGUGCUCAUAAGAGCUGAGAAAUCUAAAGCCAGAGG
rnacentral:lncRNA from 10 species